UGGGGAAUAUUGCGCAAUGGGGGAAACCCUGACGCAGCAACGCCGCGUGGAGGAAGAAGGUCUUCGGAUUGUAAACUCCUGUCUUCUGGGACGAAUAAUGACGGUACCAGAGGAGGAAGCCACGGCUAACUACGUGCCAGCAGCCGCGGUAAUACGUAGGUGGCAAGCGUUGUCCGGAAUUAUUGGGCGUAAAGGGCGCGUAGGCGGCAACCUAAGUCAGAUGUGAAACCCCGGGGCUUAACUCCGGACGUGCAUUUGAAACUGGGUAGCUAGAGUGCAGGAGAGGAAAGCGGAAUUCCUAGUGUAGCGGUGAAAUGCGUAGAUAUUAGGAGGAACACCAGUGGCGAAGGCGGCUUUCUGGACUGUAACUGACGCUGAGGCGCGAAAGCGUGGGGAGCAAACAGG
rnacentral:rRNA from 2 species